AACGAACGCUGGCGGCAUGCCUAACACAUGCAAGUCGAACGAGACCUUCGGGUCUAGUGGCGCACGGGUGCGUAACGCGUGGGAACCUGCCUUUAGGUUCGGAAUAACUCAGAGAAAUUUGAGCUAAUACCGGAUGAUGUCUUCGGACCAAAGAUUUAUCGCCUUUAGGUGGGCCCGCGUUGGAUUCGCUAGUUGGUGGGGUAAAGGCCUACAAAGGCGACGAUCCAUAGCUGGUCUGGGAGGAGGAUCAGCAACACUGGGACUGGGACCCGGCCCGAACCCUACGGGAGGGGGGAAGGGGGGAAAAUGGAACAAGGGGCGAAGGCUGAAUCAGCCAAGGCCGGGGAAGUGUGAAAGGCUUUAGGUUGGAAAGGCUCUUUAACCCGGGAGGUUAUGACGGGAACUGGAGAAUAAGCUCCGGCUAACUCCGUG
rnacentral:rRNA from 1 species